rnacentral:rRNA from 1 species
UAGGGGAAUCUUCCACAAUGGACGAAAGUCUGAUGGAGCAACGCCGCGUGAGUGAAGAAGGGUUUCGGCUCGUAAAACACUGUUGUAAGAGAAGAAUGACAUUGAGAGUAACUGUUCAAUGUGUGACGGUAUCUUACCAGAAAGGAACGGCUAAAUACGUGCCAG